rnacentral:tRNA from 1 species
GUCGGUAUCGAUUAGGGGUUAAAUCACCUCGUUGUGGCGGGUCUCUCCCCGAGGAGCCGCAGGUUCGAUUCCUGCUACCGACA